rnacentral:rRNA from 1 species
GUGAGGAAUUUUCCGCAAUGGGCGAAAGCCUGACGGAGCAAUGCCGCGUGAAGGAUGAAGGCCUAUGGGUUGUAAACUUCUUUUCUCAGAAAAGAAUUAUGACGGUAUCUGAGGAAUAAGCAUCGGCUAACUCUGUGCCAGCAGCCGCGGUAAGACAGAGGAUGCAAGCGUUAUCCGGAAUGAUUGGGCGUAAAGCGUCUGUAGGUUGUUUAAAAAGUAUUCUGUCAAAGAUUAGGGCUUAACCCUAGAUAGGCAGAAUAAACUUUUAAGCUAGAGUUUGGUAGAGGCAGGGGGAAUUCCCGGUGGAGCGGUGAAAUGCGUAGAUAUCGGGAGGAACACCAAAGGCGAAGGCACUCUGCUGGGCCAAUACUAACACUGAGAGACGAAAGCGAGGGGAGCAAAUGGGAUUAGAAACCCGGGUAGUCC